rnacentral:rRNA from 1 species
UACGUAGGGCGCGAGCGUUGUCCGGAUUUAUUGGGCGUAAAGAGCUCGUAGGCGGCUUGUCGCGUCGACCGUGAAAACUUGGGGCUCAACCCCAAGCCUGCGGUCGAUACGGGCAGGCUCGAGUUCGGUAGGGGAGACUGGAAUUCCUGGUGUAGCGGCGAAAUGCGCAGAUAUCAGGAGGAACACCGGUGGCGAAGGCGGGUCUCUGGGCCGAUACUGACGCUGAGGAGCGAAAGCGUGGGGAGCGAACAGG